GAUGAACGCUGGCGGCGUGCCUAAUACAUGCAAGUCGAGCGAACAGACGAGGAGCUUGCUCCUCUGACGUUAGCGGCGGACGGGUGAGUAACACGUGGAUAACCUACCUAUAAGACUGGGAUAACUUCGGGAAACCGGAGCUAAUACCGGAUAAUAUAUUGAACCGCAUGGUUCAAUAGUGAAAGACGGUUUUGCUGUCACUUAUAGAUGGAUCCGCGCCGCAUUAGCUAGUUGGUAAGGUAACGGCUUACCAAGGCGACGAUGCGUAGCCGACCUGUGAGGGUGAUCGGCCACACUGGAACUGAGACACGGUCCAGACUCCUACGGGAGGCAGCAGUAGGGAAUCUUCCGCAAUGGGCGAAAGCCUGACGGAGCAACGCCGCGUGAGUGAUGAAGGUCUUCGGAUCGUAAAACUCUGUUAUUAGUGAAGAACAAAUGUGUAAGUAACUAUGCACGUCUUGACGGUACCUAAUCAGAAAGCCACGGCUAACUACGUG
rnacentral:rRNA from 1 species